AGCAGCCGCGGUAAUUCCAGCUCCAAUAGCGUAUAUUAAAGUUGUUGCAGUUAAAAAGCUCGUAGUUGAAUUUCGGGGUCAGUAGAUUGGUCAUGCCUCCGGUAUGCACUGGUCUUACUGGCUCCUCCUUCCUGAUGAACCGUAAUGCCAUUAAUUUGGUGUUGCGGGGAGACUGGACUGUUACUUUGAAAAAAUUAGAGUGUUUAAAGCAGGCUAACGCUUGAAUACAUUAGCAUGGAAUAAUGAAAUAGGACGUUCGAUCUUAUUUUGUUGGUUUCUAAGAUUGACGUAAUGAUUAAUAGGGAUAGUUGGGGGCAUUAGUAUUCAAUUGUCAGAGGUGAAAUUCUUGGAUUUAUUGAAGACUAACUACUGCGAAAGCAUUUGCCAAGGAUGUUUUCAUUAAUCAAGGACGAAAGUUAGGGGAUCGAAGACGAUCAGAUACCGUCGUAGUCUUAACCAUAAACUAUGCCGACUAGGGAUCGGAUGGUGUUAAUUUUUAAUGACUCAUUCGGCGCCUUAA
rnacentral:rRNA from 1 species